rnacentral:rRNA from 1 species
GAUGAACGCUAGCUACAGGCUUAACACAUGCAAGUCGAGGGGAAACGACAUCGAAAGCUUGCUUUUGGUGGGCGUCGACCGGCGCACGGGUGAGUAACGCGUAUCCAACCUGCCCACCACUUGGGGAUAACCUUGCGAAAGUAAGACUAAUACCCAAUGAUAUCCCACGAAGGCAUCCGAAUGGGAUUAAAGAUUUAUCGGUGAUGGAUGGGGAUGCGUCUGAUUAGCUUGUUGGCGGGGUAACGGCCCACCAAGGCAACGAUCAGUAGGGGUUCUGAGAGGAAGGUCCCCCCACAUUGGAACUGAGACACGGUCCAAACUCCUACGGGAGGCAGCAGUGAGGAAUAUUGGUCAAUGGGCGAGAGCCUGAACCAGCCAAGUAGCGUGCAGGACGACGGCCCUAUGGGUUGUAAACUGCUUUUAUGCGGGGAUAAAGCGGGCCACGUGUGGCCCCUUGCAGGUACCGCAUGAAUAAGGACCGGCUAAUUCCGUG